UGGGGAAUUUUGGACAAUGGGCGCCAGCCUGAUCCAGCCAUGCCGCGUGCAGGAUGAAGGCCUUCGGGUUGUAAACUGCUUUUGUACGGAACGAAAAGGUGCCUUCUAAUAAAGGGCGCUCAUGACGGUACCGUAAGAAUAAGCACCGGCUAACUACGUGCCAGCAGCCGCGGUAAUACGUAGGGUGCGAGCGUUAAUCGGAAUUACUGGGCGUAAAGCGUGCGCAGGCGGUUUUGUAAGACAGAGGUGAAAUCCCCGGGCUCAACCUGGGAACUGCCUUUGUGACUGCAAGGCUGGAGUGCGGCAGAGGGGGAUGGAAUUCCGCGUGUAGCAGGGAAAUGCGUCGAUAUGCGGAGGAACACCGAUGGCGAAGGCAACCCCCUGGGCCUGCACUGACGCUCAUGCACGAAAGCGUGGGGAGCAAACA
rnacentral:rRNA from 1 species